CCAUUAACAUUUUUAGAAUUCCAUUCUGUUCAUCCAAUGAUAGUCAUGUUCGUAAAUCAAAUAAAGUUGUGUAUAUGCAUACGCAUUCAAGCGAAAAAUGGUUAACGUUACAUAUAAAUAAGAAAUAAAUAUAUUGAUUUUUAUUUCAUUUGCGGAUGUAUUUUACCCACAUAUUAUGUUACAUGCAUUGAACUAUGAGGCAGGGAGAAACUGCAUACCUUAAAAAUGAGAGAUUGCAUUAAUCUAACGUAUGAUUCUGACCUCUUCAACAUAUUAAUUCAAUUAAAUGGGGGGGGGGGGGUAUUUCACAUACACGUAAAAGCGUGUCUGUAUAUUUUCUUCGAAAGACCCCUGUGCAAAUGGCUAUACUUCAUUCAUAUCCUAAAAACAUGUUUAUCAUACUUAAAUUGUUAAAAAUAUAAUGCAAUAUCAUACUUCAAAAACAAAAACUUAAUGACCAAAUUUCCUUUUUCUCUUAUAGAUAAAUAAGUUAGACAAUUGAAUAAUAAACUCAUUUAAAGAAAUAGUGUUGCCGGAAAGAUUCUCCUAGACAAUCAAAACUUUACUGCAACAAAAAAUGUAGACGAAAAAGAAGAAAUAAGCACGGAAACAUAAAAAGUAGAUUCUUGAAAUACAACGUGGUUAAAAUUCGGCAGCAUCCAAUUCAACAUAGCAAUUGUUUGAGCAGUAUUCAGUGCUUCUGCAGAGUUCCAUUAAAAUUGAGAUAACAACAUUUUUAUUUGUUUUCGCAGACAAAUUAUAUGUUCUGAUUUAUGCAUCAUUCAGAUGACACUCUAGACAGAAUCUUUUUGAAAAUGUUUACAUCAAAAAUAAUAAAUACUUAUUCCGAAAUGAUUUGAUUUGAGAAGAUGAACGAUGAAGGAAAAGAUUUGAUAAUGUCAUAUCAGUAUAACAUUUUGUUAACCACAAACGAGAGAGAUGCCCGAAUAUUGAACGAGAACAAACGAGAGAGAUGCCCGAAUAUUGAACGAGAACAAACGAGAGAGAUGCCCGAAAAUUGAACGAGACUAAACUUUCUGUUAACCACAAACGAGAGAAAUGCCCGAAUAUUGAACGAGACUAAACUUUCUGUUAACCACAAACGAGAGAGAUGUCCGAAUAUUGAACGAGAGUAAACUUUCUGUUAACCACAAACGAGAGAGAUGCCCGAAUAUUGAACGAGAGUAAACUUUCGCUGUCUUACCAUUUUAGAGCUAGAGGAACUUCCUCCAGUUUCUAUUCAAAUUGUAUUUUGAACCUUACCAGAUCCAAAUCGAAAUGACUCUUGGAAAGUAAAUAUAUUAUAACUAUAAAAGCGUUGAUAAGAAAAGCAUAUAUUGGGGAAAAAAUUUAUGACAAGUCCUUUCUGUGUGUGUUCUAUGAUAGUUAAACAAUUAUCAUUCAUUUUGUUAGAGAAGUUCUAUAGGAAACUUUAAAACCUGCGUUUAUAUAAGUAUUUAUUUACAAUAUAAUUUAGUCUUGGUCUGAUGAUGAAGAAAAAAAUGAUGUGUGCAAAAAAAAACGUGGUAGGCCGCGGGCCACUCCGAAUGAAGAUAUAAAAAACUUCACAAAUGGAGAGAUCCGACGUUUUAUUAAAAGCUACAAGAAAUAUGGUGAUCCACUGUCACGGUUAAUUGAUAUUGCUGGUGACGCAGGUUUAAAACAAUCACAUUCUGAACUGAGAAAGUUGGCAGAAGAACUCAAAUCCUCCUGUGAACAAGUACACCAGUACUAAACUACCUUCCUCCUUGCUAAACUAUGAAAAACAAGAUCAACAAGGAAAGGCGGCGUUCAAUGAACGCAACCCCCAUAUGACCCAGCAACAAUAACCAAUGGCAAGGAGCCCAGGCGGACCCCAAACAUAAAAAGGACAGGGCAACGACACGUUAAUCAUUAAAUGAUAAAUAAUUUGUAACUGAUUAGGAAUUCAAAGAAAUUAAUAAUUGGCCCACAAAGGGGAAGGGGACAGAAGACCGGGGGGAACGGGGGGGGUUAAUCAAAGAAAUAAAAACUAGAGGCAAUGGGGAAGAUACUUACCGUAGACGAGAAAACAACAAGGGACACAAGCAAAAGUGUCACCAAAACAGUAUGAAACAACAUAGACAUACAUCUGAGGAACACAGUGGGGUGCCGCCUUGGAACGGUCAGCAGCAUAAUAAUGACUGCUGGGGAGUUUAAACCGGUUAAUGGUGCACCAAACCUCGCUCUUAGCCCCACCAUGUUCCUAUAAACGAGACAGUGUAAAUAAAAUGAAUCCCCGCCAAGUGAAAUUCUAACAGUUGUCAUGGUUACAAAAGGUUAAAUAAGUAAAACACUAAAAUGAUCAUGUAGAAACAUAUAAAAGUAAACCCAAUGACCAUAAGAAAAGUACUCAAUGUCCUAAAGGAAGACAGAGCAACAAGAAAAUCACCUACAAGGGCCCGACGAAGCAAGGCAGAAGACGAACAUUAAGACAAUUCAGUCCCAAAGGGCUUUACGAACUAUCCAUCAUAGAGUCUCCCACUUGGUCCGUCAGAUGCAAUCAAAAGAGGAAAGCGUAGUGUCCAACUGUAAAAGGGUUGAACACUAAACAUGCAGUAUGUCUUAAAAUAGUAGGGUCAUAACCUCUUUUAAUAAAACGUUUAAUGAGUUUAGUAAAAACAGCAGAAAAAUUACCAUGACCCAAAAUCUUACGAAGUUUGUAAACCACCUCGCCAUAAAAACCAGGCUGGCUAAUCCCUUGUCGCAGAAGAGUUUUUAAAUCACUAUUGAAUUUAGAAAUUAAAUCAAAGUUACGAUUGUAAGCAUCUCCCGGGGAUCGAACCCACGCCAGAGAGGUAACUGGAUUAGAAGUCAUCGACUCUAACCCCUCGACCACGGAGGCGGUCUUUAGAAAAAGUAAAAAAAUAUUGAGCAUUGCCCCUGCCCAACAGUAGAUCUUAUAAUUUCAUUAAGUUUACAAAUGCAGAGGAAUACGACCUAGACAGUAUUACGAAAACAACAUAUAUUGUCCACCAUUCUGGCCCGAAAAUAUCAAUUUUCGUAGCCAAAACACAUGUAAAAAUCAAAAAAGAAAUGUUCUUAAAUUAUCAUAUUUAUGUUUUAUUUGUCAGGAAAACAUUUUUCUAAUAAUAUAAUAAUCAAGUUAAGUACAAAAUAUGUUGCAUUUGUGUCGUAUCAUAAUGACUUUAUUUUAUUUUUAAUACUCAAGUAGAGAUAAAAAGAAAUAUUCGGAGGCUGUAUUGUUGAGAACUCAGCAGGUGUCAAGUGCUGUGUGGCAGCCGUAAAAAAUUGCCCCGUACUUCACUUCAGUGUUGUUAUGUUUUCUGGUCCUUCGGGAUCAUUGGUGGUGUCAACACUAUAAAGUGUUGAGAAUUGAGUACCGCUCAAGCCGGUGCUAGGGGGCGUGAGGGAUGUUGCACUUAUUCAUUAUCCGUCAUGUACAGACUCAAUCAAACCGGGUCUGCAAUUCUUACGUUAUUAUGUUGUGAUUAAUGUUUCCGAGGGAUCACUUUGUUUCCAGAAUUUUGUACUUCACAACAGCAGGUGUCAAGUGCUGUGUGGCAGCCGUAAAAAGUUGCCCCGUACUUCAAUUCAGUGUUGUUAUAUUUUCUGGUCCUUUGGGAUCAUUUGUGCCAACAUUAUAAAGUGUUGAGAAUUGAGUACCACUCAAGCCGGUGCUAGGGUGUGUGAGGGAUGUUGCACUUAUUCAUUAUCCCUCAUGUACAGACUCAAUCAAACCGAGUCUGCAGUUUUACGUUAUUAUGUUGUGAUUAAUGUUUCCGAGGGAUCACUUUGUUUCCAGAAUUUCAUAUGAUUAUGUAAAUAAAAUUACUUAUUUGUUAACAUAAGGGCCAUGAUGGCCCUGAAGUCAUUCACCUGUAUAUAGGCGCCGGAGCGGGGCCAGUUUUAACCCCGGGUUUUUUUAUUUGAACAAACAUUAGAAGAUGCUUCAUGCCAAACAUCUAAUGUCUAGCUCGUUGGGUUUUUUAUAAGAAGAUUUUUCAAAAGUUUUUUUCUUUACACAUAUUGUUAAAAAAAUAAUGAAACACCUGGGGCAGGGCCAGUUUUGACACCAGGGCUUUUUUUUAAACAAUCUUUGUAGGCACUUACUUAAAAAUAUUUCAUGCUUAAUAUCUUAAAUCAAGGUAUUCGGGUUUUUUCUAAGAAGAUUUUUGAGUUGGGUGGUUCCAAUAUUCUUACCUACUUGAAUAAUGUUGAAUCACCCUUGGGAUAUGUUGCCUGCUUUUUAAAUUUGUAUUUUGACGUCUUAUCUGUGAUACGCAGGCUUCAUAACCUCUGAUUCCCUUUCCAAAUUCCAUUUUAUUUAGUUCCGCCCAUUGUUUUCUCGUUUAGGGCACACGCAUUUUAUUACUUGGGGACCAUACGCCGCUUUUCAUGGAAUGGCACGGAAGUGUCACAUUGAAGGUUCAAUGAUAACCGCCGUAUGAACACAUCUGCGGAUGUUUCUAAAUUCAAAAUUUUACUAUUUCACGUUUAAAUGUUGAAUUCUGCUUAAGCCGGUGCUACGGGGCGUGGACGAUAACUUGCAUUAUCCAGUACCGUCCAUGAACAGGCUCAAUCAAACCAAGCCUGCAACAUUUUCAAUUUUGCCGUGUUGAGCUUUUUUAGGGAUUCUGUAUUUAUCUAUUUGCUAUACAUAUAUAAGGAAAAUCAAUGUACCCCGGGGCGGGACCAAUUUUGGCCAAAGGGCUUUUAUUUGAACAAUCCUGGUAGACACUCAAUAGAAGAUGUUUCAUGCUUAGUAUCUAAAUUCUAGCUAUUUGUUUUGUUUUUUUUUCAAUAGAAGAAUUUUUUAAGUUUUUGCAAUACACAUAUAAGGAAAAUCAAUGACCCCUAGGUCAGGGCCAAUUUUGACCCCAGGGCUUUUAAGUGUUGAGAAUUGAGUACCGCUCAAGCCGGUGCUAGGGGGCGUGAGGGAUGUUGCACUUAAUCAUUAUCUCUCAUGUACAGACUCAAUCAAACCGAGUCUGCAAUUCUUAUGUAAUUUUGUUGUGAUUAAUGCCUCCGAGGGAUCACUUUGUUUCAAGAAUUUUAUCUGAACAAACUUGUUAAGUUGGUAGACACCCAUUAGAAGAUAUUUCAUGCUAAACAACUUAGCUCUAGCUCUUUGGGUUCCUUCAAAGAAGAUUUUGUAUGUUUCUACUUUAUGCAUAUAGGGAAAAUAAAUGACCCCAUGGGGCGUGGCCAAUUUUGACUAAAGGGCUUUUAUUUCAACAACAUUUGUAGACACUCACUAGAAGAUGUUUCAUGCCAAAAAUCUAACCUCUAGCUUGUUGGGUUUUUUAGAAGAAGAUAUUUGAAGUUUUAUCUUAUGGAUGCCAUGGCAACCAAAGUUCUGCAUGGAAUUUAAUUAUUUGAACAAUUUGCAAAGGUGACCACCAAAGGAACAUUCCUGUGAAGUUUGGAUGAAAUUGGCUGAGUGGUUGAUGAGGAGAUGUCAUUUAAAGUAAAAGUUUACGGACGGACUGAUGGACGACGGACGGACGGACGAAAAGCGAUCACAAAAGCUCACCCUGUCACUUUGUGACAGAUGAGCUAAAAAAGUAAACAAAUGUUCAUGGACGGUACAGGAAAGUGCAAGUUACCGUACACGCCCCCUAGCACCGGUUAAGCAGAAUUCAACAUUUAAACAUGAAAUAGUAAAAUUUUGAAUUUAGAAACAUCCGCAGAUGUGUUCAUACGGCGGCGUAUGGUCCCCAAGUAAUAAAAAGCGUGUGCCUUAAACGAGUAAACAAUGGGCGGAACUAAAUAAAAUGGAAUUUUGAAAGGGGAUCAGAGGUUAUGAAGCCUGCAUAUCACAGAUAAGACGUCAAAAGACAAAUUUAAAAAGCAGGCAACAUACCCUUAGGGUGAUUUAACAUUAUUCAAGUGGGAAUAUUGGAACCACCCAACUAGAAAAUGCCGAAAAGUUGAAGCUAAAAAUACCACAAGCACAACAAAGAUGUCGUGCUGAACGAUCUUUAAGGAUCGAAAAUAUAACAUCAUUGAUUGAGGUAUGACCCACCUAAUGCAUUACCUCCACUUUGAAGAGUACUCAAAUAGGCUAGAACUAUAGCCAACUGCAUUGAAACUGAGGGGCGCGGGUUCAAGCCCCAGAAGAGGCAACUUUUAAUUCUUUCUUUUUGUUUUCUUUGAACAUUUUUUGUGUCUCUCAGAUCACUCUUGAUAAGAAAAAAAGUGUUUUAUUUUAAUUAUAAAAUUAUUAUUGGUAUUUAUUGGCUAAAUUGUGCCAUACUUAUUAUCAAAUAGUAUUUUAUAUUUGACAAGCACAUCCAUUAUAUUUUAAAGAAAAUUUAUGCAAACUUUGUAAACAGCCCCUUAUUUGAGUAAAUUUUAGGGAUAUUUGAAUAAGGCCCUCCAAGUAGAAAAAUGAUCAAACAACUACUUAAAAUGAGUCGCGUAGGGUAAAAAAUAUGAUAAACAAGAUCAACAAGGAAAGGCGGCGUUCAAUGAACGCACAUAAUUGCACUUGUAUACAUAUUUCAAACAUUUGAGUAGAUACAAUAAUUUUGCUUGGUCAUUUGUUAGCUAUUGAAUGCUAUUAUUUGUUUCUUAAAUAUUUUCUAUAGGAAAACAUUAUUUCAUAAUGAUUAUAUAAUAGAAUAAUAAGAGUUUCUCAUUUCUGAAAAAGAUCCCUUCUAAUAGCCAAAAUAUGAUAAACAAGAUCAACAAGGAAAGGCGGCGUUCAAUGAACGCAACCCCCAAGUUUCACUUUAGAAAAAUCUCCAUAACUCGUAAACCAUACGGUAAACUUUGUUUAAAUUUUGCAUUCUUGUGUCUUUUAAGGUAUAUAACUGACCUAUGUUGUCAAUUUUAUAGUUCCUUAUAGUGCCCAUUAAGGGGCUCAUACCUUAAAUGCACGGGGAGAUUUUCACAGCCGCCACACGGCACAAAUAACACAGAUGUGAUCAUAAAAUAGGUAAAUACAGAAUCCCUAAAGAAAGCACAAAACCGCAAAAUUGAAAAUGGUGCAGGCUCGGUUUGAUUUAGCCUGUUCAUGGACGGUACUGCAUUGGUUGAUGUACAACGUUUAGCUUCCAGCAUGUGGUUUUGACUCCUGUUUGUUUGUUUGGAUUUUUACGGCACGUCAACACAUAACUGGCCAUAUCGUGCCGAAUGCUAUAAUAGGCUUAAAAUGUUAUGUUUAACUUUGUAAAUGACAAUUAGAUCCUAGAAUACAAGUUUAUCUCUUUCAAAUAAUCAAUUAUGUUUUUUGAUGGAAUUGUAUUAAAAAGUUCUUUGAGCGAAUUUACAGAAUAAAAUCUAUUACGAGCCUGUGAAAAAUCAUGACAUUCAAGAAGAAAAUGCUUGACAGUAAAAUUUUCAUUACAACCUACACAGAAAGGGGUAUUUUCAUUUUAGUGUGUCCAAUUCGGCAUCGAAGAAGAACUGUUUGAUCACGUCGGUUUGACAGAGAUAAAGAUGGUGACACAACAAGAGAUUGGUUUAUAUCAAACCGAGCCUGCAACAUUUUCAAUUUUGCCGUGUUGGGCUUUCUUUAGGGAUUCUGUAUUUAUCUAUUUUAUAUCGUGAAGUUUAUUAAAAACGGCAUUGUCCCAAUUUGCUUUCCAUUCAGAUGAUACGAGUUUAUUUAUAGCCGGUCUAAAAUCACAAGCAGUUUUUUGAAAAUUUAAUGAUUGUUUAGCUAAAAUAUGAUAAACAAGAUCAACAAGGAAAGGCGGCGUUCAAUGAACGCAACCCCCACAUGACCCAGCAACAAUAACCAACGGCAAGGAGCCCAGGGGGACCCCAAACAAAAACAGGACAGGGCAAAGACAGAGCACGGACAGGCCAAUCAUUAAAUGAUAAUUAAUUUGUAACUGAUUAGGAAUUCAAAGAAAAUAACCUAGGCCCACAAAGAGGAAGGGGACAGGAGACCGGGGGGAGGGGGUGGGGAGUAAUCAAAGAAACAAAAACUAGAGGCAAUGGGGAAGAUACUUACCGUAGACGAGAAAACAACAAGGGACACAAGCAAAAGUGUCACCAAAACAGUAUGAAACAACAUGGACAUACAUCUGAGGAACACAGUGGGGCGCCGCCUUGGAACGGUCAGCAGCAUAAUAAUGACUGCUGGGGAGUUUAAACCGGUUAAUGGUGCACCAAACCUCGCUCUUAGCCCCACCAUGUUCCACCAUGUUCCUAUAAACGAGACAGUGUAAAUAAAAUGAAUCCCCGCCAAGUGAAAUUCUAACAGUUGUCAUGGUUACAAAAGGUUAAAUAGGUAAAACACUAAAAUGAUCAUGUAGAAACAUAUAAAAGUAAACCCAAUGACCAUAACAAAGGUACUCAAUGUCCUAAAGGAAGACAGAGCAACAAGAAAAUCACCUACAAGGGCCCGACGAAGCAAGGCAGAAGACGAACAUUAAGACAAUUCAGCAUCUACUUUUUCAUUUCCUCGUAUUCCCACAUGACUUGGAAUCCAAUAUAAUUUAACAUAUUUUGUGUUUAGUAUAUCAUGAAAUCGUAAAAGAAGUUUCUUUACCAUGAUAUUGUCAGAUUUUAUAUUUUUAAUGGAUAUUAAAACAGAAAGCGAGUCAGAAAAUAUCACAAAUUUAUCGUGGGUAUGCUGUGCUAUGUAUGACAAUGCUAAAUCGAUAGCUUUUGCUUCAGCAGUAAAAAUUGAUGCAUUAUCUGGUAACCUCAUACUAGAUGUAAAAUUAUUUUCAAACACAGCCGCACCUACUUUGCAACCUUCUUUUGAACCGUCAGUUUAAAUAUGUAUAAAAGCUCGAGCGAAUCUAAUUAACUGAGAUAAAAUAGUAUGAAACAACAUUGACAUACAUCUAAGGAACACAGUGGGGCACCGCCUUGGAACGGUCAGCAGCAUAAUAAUUACUGCUGGAGAGUUUUAACCGGUUAAUGGUUCACCAAACACUUCUGCGACAAGGAAUUAGCCAGCCUGAUUUUUACGGGGAUUUUGUUUACUUCGUUAGAUCUUUGGUCAUUGUAAUUUUGCUGUUGUGUUUACUAAAAUUUUUAAACGUUUUAAUAAAAGUAGUUAUGACCCUAUUAUUUUAAGACAUACCGCAGGCCUAGUGUUCAACCCAUAUACAGUUGGACACUACGCUUUCCUCUUUUGAUUACAUAUGACGGAUCAAGUGGGAGACUCUACGAUGGACAGUUCUUAAAGCCCUUUGGGACGGAAUUGCCUUAAUGUUUGUCUUCUUUCUUGCUUCGUCGGGAUCUUGUGGGUGAUUUUCUUGUUGCUCUGUCUUUCUUUAAGACAUCGAGUACUUUUGUUAUGGUGAUUGGGUUUACUUUAAUAUGUUUCUACAUGAUGAUUUUAGUGUUUUACUUAUUUAACUUUUGUAACAACUGUUAGAAUUUCACUUGGCGGGGAUUCAUUUUAUUUACACUGUCUUGUUUAUAGGAAUAUGGUGGGGCUAAGAGCGAGGUUUGGUGCACCAUUAACCGGUUUAAACUCCCAAGCAGUAUUUAUGCUGCUGACCAUACGAAGGCGGCGCCCCUCUGUGUUCCUCAGAUGAAUGUCUAUGUUGUUUUAUACUGUUAUGGUGACAGUUUUAUGUCUCUUGUUUAUUUCUCGGCUACGGUAUACUGAUUUUAUCGACCUGUCAAUUAUGAAUACAUUAUAGCACUCAUUUAGAUAUUCGAUCCCACUUCUGGUUUGUCCGUUUAUUUUACGAGAAUCGAUAUGGAGUAUAUCACAAACGGUUGGAAACUCCCACUAGCUUGAUGUAGGUUUCCGUUACAUCCGCAAUAGCUCAGUCGGUUAAGUGAUUAUCUAAUGCCUUAGAGAUCCGGGGUUUGAUCCCUACUUGACAUUCUUUUUAGACUAAUUCGUUCUUUAUCUUAAGUAUAUUUUAAUGAAAAUGUUCUAGCGCUUGCAAUAUUGUCUAGUACAGGGAUAUUAAACAAAUAAGAAACACUGAUCGAAUUGUCACGUUAAAUGAUGUAUUUUAAGGCACUGAAAUGACAUUCAUUGAUUUUAAUCCGAAUGAAUUUUCAAUAUUAAUUCUUUAACAAUGUUAUAUACAAAAGUAUAGUAUUUACAAACAAGUGCAAAACAGAUUUAAAAAAAAAGAACAAACGUUACUUAAAAUGAUGAAAAUAGUUAUAAAUAAGAAAAAAAACCUGGGUUUACGCGGUCUCGAUCAUACAACACAUAGGACAUUUAGAUAUUUUACACCCGUAGUUUACCCUAUUGCGCUAUAACGGUCAGUGUAACUAAUUCAUAGAAACAAGACGAAUCCAAUUACAUCUUACUGCGUUUCUUUCACGGAAUUUACCGAAGAUUUAUCGAUUAUUAAUAUAUUAUGUGCAUAGACCGUUUAGUAAGUAUGGAAUUGACAGGUUAAUAAAAUCAAACAAUAAGUAUCUUCCCCUUUGCCCCUAGUUUUUAUUUAUUUUAUUUAUUCCUGCCCCCUUCCCUGUGCCUUUUGACUUUAUGGGCCUAAUCUUCAAUUAUGUAUUUGUUUUCUUUUAGUUCAUUAUCAGUUACUAAUUAUUUAUUCUUAUGUAGUGGUUUGCCUGCCAGUGCUCUGCCUUAUGCCCUGUCCUUUUUUUGUUUGGGGUCCUCCUGGGCUCCUUGCCACUGACGCUUGUUACUGGGUCGGGUGAGGGCUGCGUUCAUUGAACGCCGCCUUUCCUUGUCGAUCUUGUUUAUCAUAUUUUAUUUGGUGCAGACAAGCUGUUAGAGGAUCUUUUGCAAUUGACCGUAACGUACGACCUUUACCUAGCAACACCGUUCUUUCGAAUGACACGCCUUCUCGUUAUUGUGAACAUAUUAAGUUACAUUUUUUUUUUAAUUUUGCCUUCUUAUUACAAAAUAGAUAGUAAUAAACAAAAUUGAUAAUGUUUGCAGGCUCGGUUUGAUUGAGACAGUUCAUGGACGGUAUUAGAAAGUGCAAUUUAGCGUCCACGCCCUAGCACCGGCUUGGCUAGAAUUCAACAUUUAAUUAUAGUAAAGUUAUAUCCCUCACAAGAAUAACUGGACGGACGCACACACCAAACCGAUGUUUAGCUUUGUGCAAGCAGGUUGAGGUAUAAGUAUUUCAGCUAUUGUUAGCGUGCGUGAUCAUCAGAGGCGACUAGAUGUGGUCAAUUUAGUGGAACCCCCUUGUGUGGAGGUACGUUUAUAACACCCGAGAGUAGCCAAAUUAUCUUUAUUUAUAUAUUUGACCUUAAUUAUGUUGGUGCGCCGUAAAACCAAACUCUGUUAAUCUCUCAUAAACAAACUAAAUCAAACCGAAUGGGCAAUAGUAUUUUUCUCCCUGCUCCGGAAAUGUCACCUUUUGUACACAAUAUUUACUACAUAUAUAUCUUUAUUUUUCUACUUGGCUUAAUCUCAAUUUGUAAAUGUUUAGUACACUGGCAGUGAUAAACAAAUGCUGAAGAUUUGGCGCCGGAAUGUUCGUAACGACCGUAAAUGCAUAACAUUGAAAACAAAAUAGAUAAAUACAGAAUCCCUAAAGAAAGCCCAACACGGCAAAAUUGAAAAUGUUGAAAACAAUACUUGCCUUGUUCAUAAUUUAUAUAUUAACUAUAAAUUAUACAAAGGAGUGUAAUCUUAUUCGCUUAUAUAUUUUCCACAAAAAAGAAUUUAGAUGGUUUCAUUUUCUCUCCUUUUUUGCAUUUUAUCUGGUUACGUCAUUGUUUAUACUAUAUUUACAAAUAAACAGUAAAUAUCACAUGUUUACGUUUCUGUUGUUCACUUGUGUUGAAAACAUUUGCCCGAGUCAAGGCAUCGAAAGGUAUCUUAUGUCUGUCUCCGCCAGUAAAUCGUGGGAGUCACCAUGACCUAUACUGUGUUUGUCCGCCGUAAAACCCAACCAAAUUCAAUAUUUUAAUAACGGUAUAUACGGCAAUAAGUAAUGCAGUCAUAACAAUAUGUAAGUGUCAGUAUUUUUCUAACAUUGUGUAGUUAUCAACAAUAUUAACUAUAAUAUGAAAAGAAACGGAGAAACUGAUACAUAUAUCUAAUAAAGUUCUAAGAAAAACCGUUUUGUAGGUGAUUUUCUUGUUGCUCUGUCUUCUUCCUUUAGGACAUUGAGUACUUUUGUUAUGUCAUUGGGUUUACUUUCAUAUGUUUCUACAUGAUCAUUUUAGUGUUUUACUUAUUUAACCUUUCGUAACCAUGACAACUGUUAGAAUUUCACUUGGCGGGGAUUCAUUUUAUUUACACUGUCUCGUUUAUAGGAACAUGGUGGGGCUAAGAGCGAGGUUUGGUGCACCAUUAACCGGUUUAAACUCCCCAGCAGUCAUUAUUCUGCUGCUGACCGUUCCAAGGCGGCGCCUCACUGUGUUCCUCAGAUGUAUGUCCAUGUUGUUUCAUACUGUUUUGGUGACACUUUUGCUUGUGUCCCUUGUUGUUUUCUCGUCUACGGUAAGUAUCUUCUCCAUUGCCUCUAGUAUUUAUUUCUUUAAUUGCACCCCCUUUCCCCGGUCUCCUAUCCCCUUCCUCUUUGUGGGCCUAUUAUUAUUUUCUUUGAAUUCCUAAUCAGUUCCAAAUUAUUUAUCAUUUAAUGAUUAACCUGUCCGUGCUCUGUCUUUGCCCUGUCCUGUUUUUGUUCGGGGUCCGCCUGGGCUACUUGCCGUUGGUUCUUGUUGCUGGGUCAUAUGGGGGUUGCGUUCAUUGAACGCCGCCUUUCCUUGUUGAUCUUGUUUAUCAUAUUUCAUAUGAUUAAAAUUGAGUAUUAAGUAAUGGUCAACUGUCAUUGUACAAUGCAUUAGCCCGGGUGUAUUGCACGAGUCAUGGCUUGGGCUGUGUUGGUAGGCCGUAAAACCAAAUUAAACAGGAGUUAUCACUUUGUUUCCAGAUUUUUAUAUUGACCAAAAAAGCGUAACAUUUCUUAUGUGUGCAUUGGGCAGUAUCAGAAAAAGGUUGCUAGAGUGGCGAUUAUGCAUAGACCGUUACUGUAUGGUCAUAUUUAUUUCGUUUACAGUAGAAUAUUAUAGCCCACGGGCAAACAUUGCUACAUUUUAAAUCUUGUUUGGGUUUAACGGCACAUAACUGGCCACACCGCACCGAACAUUAAAAUUGCUAACAAAAGAUUAUUAAACGUAAUAUAUCGGUUAGUAUAACUUAAAGGUUAUAACAUGAGUUAAUAAAUCUUAGACAACAGGUUUAAUUUAUCAAGUGCCCGAUCAUAAUGAUUUUGGAUUUGUAUGAUACACAGUGUACAGAAGCUCGCAACUCUGUAAAUGUGGGAAAAUAUGGAUGAUAGAAAUGUUUUGAACAUAUAUGUUUUACGCCUUUUCCAACAUGAUUGUACAUGUAAUGAAUGCCAAUAUUGAUACAUGAGCAAGAAAUAGCCAUACGAAGAUAAAAUAUGAUAAAGUCCGCCUUAAUAUAAAUAAUCACUUUAGGUUUUUUGUUAAGGAAAAAAAUAGUCAGAAAUAAAAAAAAUGAAGGGUUUAUAAAAAUAAACAAAAGGGCCAUGAUGGCUUAAAAUCGCUCACCUGAGUCGGAGUAUUUGGGUUUUUAUAAAAAAAAUUAUUUCAUAUUCACUAUAUGCACUAUAUGCAUACAAAGAAAAUCAAAGAUCCCAGGGCAAAUCUUGACCCCAGGGCCGGACGGACGCCGCACGAAAUGCGAUCACAAACGCUUACUCUGUCACUUUGUACCAGGUGAGGUAAAAAGAAACACGUUCUUUAUAAAAAAUCUCGCAUCAUACAAGUUAAAGGAUAUUUAGACUGGCCCCUCUGGCGUCUUGUGCUUAUAUUCGGGAACACCUGCUUCAAUACUUUGCCGAAGUCGGCGUAACGUAAUAGAGGUAUAUUGGGCUGUUGGUCUGGAUCAAUGCUGGUUACAAGCGCAUUACGUUGGUUUUGCCAUGGCGCAGUUCAUAAUUUUUAUAUUCAACUCAUUCAACUCACAACAGUACAUACCUCCAUCUCCGGGUUAUUCCUUUUUUGCAGACCCUGAUGGUAAUACGUAAAUUUUUGUUAAGAAGAACAAUGUUACCAUAGCAAAUCUUUCUAACAGCUUCUUCCUACGAUCAGUUUCUUUUGUAUAGAGGUCAAGUCAGAGGUCAAAUCAAGUCAGAGGUCAAAUCUGAGGUCAAGUCAGAGGUCGAGUCAGUGGUGACACCAGCCUGCACUUAUGCAGUCAAGUCAGCCAGGGUUUUCAUUUUCAUGUGAGGCAACAGAUGUGCCAACGAAAAUAAACCAAUUUAUUUGGCUAAGUGUCAAGGGGGAUAUUUUGAUCUACAAGCUUAAAAUACAACUGAUUUUAACAUUUCAACAAAUGAUAGUGAUCGCCAAUCUGUAAUUCAUGAAAAUGCUGAAGUCAACCUUAAUUUAAGCAGUCCAGCCAGCCUGUAUUUACCAGGUCAAGUCAGCCUGCCCUUUCACAAGUGUUACUAGACUAAUCUGUGUGUCAUUUGCCAAAUUUUAGGAAUCGAAAUUCUUCCCAAUAACAUCAGGGCUUAGUCUGCUUAGCGCAUAUGUGACGUAAUUGGCAAUAAAAAAUAUAUAUUUAACUAUACAAUUGCAAGUAGUAACUAACCAGUUAAUUUAAUUUUGCAAGGAGUUUAGGGGCCAAAAUAUGGAUCCAUGCAAGUGAUUUUUUUCUCCAUUGUUUAAUGAAAUUCCACAAUUGUCAAAUUCUAGUAAGUUGUGCUAAAAAUAGAUUUUUACACUUUUGCCCAUACAGCUUUUAUUUAUUGACAGUUGUAUUUCAUAUUUGGUAGGAAGAUAACUUGCAUGGUAUUCUUCCUUUGGAUGGAGUAAGGGGUCAGUUGGGUCAAGGUCACAAGUGCUAAAAAUAGAUUUUUACACUUUUGCCCAUACAGCCUUUAUUUAUUGACAGAUGUAUUUCAAAUUUGGUAGAAAGAUAACUUACAUGGUAUUCUUCUUUUGGAUAGAGUUAGGGGUCGGUUUGGUCAAGGUCACCAGUGCUCAAAAUAGAUUUAUACACUUUUGCCCAUACAGCCUUUAUUUAAUGACAGUUGUAUUUCAUAUUUGGUAGGAAGAUAACUUGCAUGAAGUUGAAUAUUUUUCAACAUCACAAGUCAGAGCAAUGACUUGGCAACUUAUAUUUUUCACAAUUACAAAAUGCCAUGACUUUGUCAAGCUAUAAAACUUGUGUUUACAAUUUUUUGGCGAUUUUUCCGUCCAUAACUGAGUGAAUGGGUAAGCAUAUUUUGAAGUAUUGCUACUGACAAGAAUCUGAGCCGGGGGCAUUUGUGUUUAACAAACACGUUCUUGUUUCUUAACAAAUUAACAAGGUUAAUUAUUUAAUGCAAUUUAAUAAGAAAUUGAAGUGUACUUUUUUCAUUGUUUCACGGAAUCGUUUAAUACUGUCCUAAACUUAUGAACAUACAUUAAGCUUCAUUUUAAAAACGUGUUUCACUAGAACUAUGUCGGUGUGCCGUGAAACCAACCAAACAAACACAAUCGACUUUGAGACCUUGUGUCAUUCAGUUGAUUUAUAGUUGAUGUUGGCAUACAGGGAUGCCCUGGACAGUACGUAUAAUGAUACUUCCUUAAUAUCUAAAUGUUGAAUACUGCUUUAACCAGUAUAAAGGGACGUUGACAGUAACUUGCACUUCUAAUAAACUCAAUCAAACCGAGCCUGUAACAUCUUCAAUAUGGUCGUUUUGUGCGUUCAAUUGAGCUUCUUUUUUUCUUUUCUUUUUUCUCGCACAUCGACCUUAUAACCGAUCGAUCGUUACCUAUACACAACAAUGACUCCCUAGCACUGCAUUAAGCCUAUUUUUUAUAAGACAUUAUUCAUUGUUACAAAUUGCAUUAUGAUUUAUGCUCUCUGGACAAUGCUAGUGUAGGUUAAAAUUGACAAUGAUAGAAAGUGGAAAGAUCACCAAAAGUAUGGCAAACAUACAUGCUUAUUUUAAAGUGUAAAACACUUUGUUUAUGUUAUUAUGGAUGCAAAUUUAAUAUGAAAUUUUACAAAUUAACAAGGACAACAUUUUAUUGUAUACCGGUAUUAGAUUUUAUUUACGCAUACAAUUUCAUACUUUUUAAGAUAGUUUACCAGAGAAAUGAAGCGUUGGAAUCUAAAUUUUAAAUGGAAGCAUAUGUUUUCGCUUGUUUCACGUCAUAAUUUAUUCUGUCUAAUUUUCUAAAAAGCUUUAUUUUGAAAACGCUAUUCUCUAGAACUGUGUUAGUGUACCGUAAAACCAUUCUACCUGGCUAUAUAUUUUAUUAUAAAUGAAGUAUUUAUUUGCAUCAUGACCGGUCAAAAUCAACUACGUUUGACAGAAAAUAAGAAAUAAAGUAAAACAUUUUGUUUAUGGUAUGUUGGAUGCAAAUAUCAUAUGAAUAGAUACGUAUCGUUUUUCAAAACAUAUAAUUCACAAGUUCAAUUGAUAAAGCUAUGGCAAAAAUGAAUUGUAUGUUAAUUUGUAUGCCAUGAUUAAUAAAGUGUAUAUGAAAUUGUUAUACAAAAUGUUUACAUAAUGUUAUGAUGCUCACCCUUAAGUUUCAUUUUAGCCGCGUCGUGACAAAACCAACAUAAUGCGUUUGCAACCAGCAUAGAUCCAGACCAGUCUGCGCAUCCGCGCAGUCUGAUCAGGAUCCAUGCUGUUCGCUUACAAGCCUAUAACAAGUAGACAAACUGAUAGUUAACAGCAUGGAUCCUGAUCAGACUGCGCGGAUGCGCAGGCUGGUCUGGAUCCAUGCUGGUCGCAAGCGCUCUAUGUUGGUUUUGUUGUGACACAGCUCAUUUAAUAAAUUUCAUAUAAACAGAAAUAGCGACAUUUCAUUUAUUAAUUGGGUUUUAUAUCGACUCCAGAUUUUAUUAUGGUGUCCUGACAACCAAAAUGAGCUUUAUAAGCAUAAAAAAUGGCAACCUCAUUCUGGCGAAAUCAGAAGUACAAUAUCUCUUUGCAUGAGAAACUCCGCCUUCAGAUCAUCCGUACAUCAAUGUUAAAUCAACAAACAUGACUAUAAGUAGCAGUCCUAAUUUAACGGUAAAUUUCUGCAUUGUAACGGAUGUUUUCAUACAAAUUUAAACUUUUUAUGAGAUGAUUGCUUUUUACUGAACAUCAGGCCUCGUGCACCGUGAAGUUUAACGGUUAACAUGUGUUUGCACAAGAAAAUCUCAUAUUUGUUGUGUUCCGGAUAGCACCUAUACCACUGUGACGUAGCGCUUACACAAGCUUAUUAUAAUCUUCAUUUGCAUGUUAAAAUUCGUAUACGAACUUUAGUGUUACCGUGGGGUUUUCGUUUAUAAUCCUAAUUUAUGAACAAUAUUUGAUGAAAUUUACAACAAUACUAUUCAACAGGUUAAUGAAUCUGUAGAAUGCUUGGUUUUAAGGCCGACGGCAAAACUAUUUUUACAUAUUUAUUUAAUGUAGCUUUACCUCACUGAAUCAUUCAUUGUGAUAUCAUCAACAGAAUAACACAAUUAAAUAUCUUUUUUCUAAACAAAUAAACCAGAUAAGUGUACAUUUUUCACUGUUUCACGGCAUUGUUUAAUACUGCCUUAUACUUCACGAACAUAUAUUGAGCUUUAUUUUGAAAACAUUAUUCACUAGAACUGUGUUUGUGCGCCGCAAAACCAACCAACAAACGCAAUCAACUUUGAGACCUUAUGUCAUUCGGUUGAUUUAUAGUUGAUGUUGGUAUGCAAUGAUGCCAUGGACCGUACGCAUAAUGAUACUUCCUAAAUAUCCAAAUGUUGAAUACUGCUUAAACCGGUAUAUAAGCGGGCGUUGACAGUGACUUGCACUUUCCAACAAGCUCAAUCAAACCGACCCUGCAACAUUUUCAAUUUUGUCGUUUUGUGCGUUCUAUAGAGAUUCUUUACUUCUCUUUUUUAAUUUCUGGUCAUAAAGGCAGAUCAGAAAAGCAUUGAAAAGCAUUGUCACCGUAGAUGAAAGCACGGGGUUAAAUCAAACAAUUUAACAUUUAAAAAAAAAAAAAAAAAAAAAACGAACUAAAUUUAAAUGCGUUUUUGAAAAAGUCAAUGCAAAUGUGAAUCGUUAGGUCAAAAAAAAUAAAAUGUUAAUGUUUCAUAAGACAUCGCGCUUUAAGCGUGCUUAUUUUGUAUUGUAUUAUAUGAUAAAUUUAAAACUAGUCAUUGUUCUCUUAAUGGAAAUAAAUAACGUUCGUAUUGUAAUCUAGUGAAACAAUAAAAGUCAUUUAUCAGGUCAUAUCAUCCUACUACUUGUCAUCUGCGUUUGACACCAAAAUA